UUUUAAGCCCCCUUGGCAUGCAGAUUCUCAGCUCUUCACCCUUGCAAUUCCACACGUAGAACUUAUAGCUGAAAGAGGACUGCGCCUGCUCACCUUUGAAAUAGCUGAGAGUGGCCCUGAUGUUGGCUUCCGGCAAGAGGCAUGGACCUCCUUCCCUCUGAGGUCUGGCCACCUCCAGUAGACCUGUCUCCCCAUUUGCUUCUAACUAGGAUGUUGCAGUUAAUGCUGGUGUGAAAAUGAUUAGCCUGAGAAAGCCCAGCAGGAUCAUCUCUACAAGGAGGUAUCAUUGUUCCUGUUUUACAAAUGAGAAACUACGUACAGACAUUUGUCCACAUUCACUCGGCUAGUUGACAGGGUUUGGAACUCCGAUCUGUACGGCCCCCAAGCUAUGCUGCAAGUGCCGCACACAGGUCUCACCCCUGCCCCGUGGAGUUGGCCAUACUGCAGCAAUAAAGACCGUGGAGCUGACAGCUCUGCAGCUGCUUCAGAGAGAGAUGUAGAGAUUUAUGCACAAAGAUGUGUGCCUAAGAUAUGUUAUAGCAAAAGGCCAAAUAUUCUUGUAAAAGUGGCAGAGAUGACUGAAGAGCUUUAUUAAGCAUGUAUUAAGUAUGUGCAGUGGAGCAUUACCAUCUGCUAAAUCUGGGUGGUUUUAUUGACCUCUCUAUUUUGCUGUAUGUUUGAAAUAUUUCAUUAUUAAUCAUUCUUAGGCAAAAGGAAAUGGAAGAAAGCAGAUAAGUUCUGCAUUGUGAGUUGUUCAGGUAGUUUUUGCAUAAACUGGAGGGUGAUAAUUGCUGAUAUGACCUCAAAAGAGAUAAGGGAGCGAAAGGAAGGUUUGCUAAUUAGCUACUAAGAAGAGAGAAAUGUGAGAAAUAAUUAAAUCACCUGGUUCGGUGUGCUCCUCUAACGCAUCCUCCCUGACUGUCUCUUCCAACUUAAUGACUCAGAGCAAUCAGCCAACGAUACACUCCGGGAGAAGAGAGAUCUUGUUAAACUUUGAGUUUGAUGCCAGUGAUGCAUGCAUUGUUUUCACAAAUUAUAUUAGUGCUCAUGCACUGGAAUUGCUGUACUUUAGACACUCAAAAUUAUGGACCAACUAUCUCUAGUGGUUGCCUGGUUUUGGAGUGAACCUCAAAGGCGAGCCUUGGCUAGGAAAGAUUUUUCCAUAUUCCAGCAGCUUUUGUUCAAAGCAUAUUUUGUUUAUACUUCCUUCCAAGUUCAAUGUGACACGGAUGGUUGUGCUUUGAUUUUUUUUUUCUUUUUUGGGGUUCAUGGAAAUCAUAACUGAAGUUUAAUUUUUUAAUCUUGCCCUUCAGAGCAGCUGACACAUCUCAGCCAAUGUUUGUUGUAUGUGCAAAAUAUACGGAAGGGAGGAGUCAAUUAAAGCCAAAAGGAGUAACAGAAAGGAAAUACUUGAGAACAGAAACCAAUAAAAUAGUAGGGAAAAUGAAUAAAAUAAAUUGGUUUUUUAAAAGAUUAAUAACAUUUUUAAUCCCCUAGCAAAAUUUAUCAAGGGAAAAAACCCCACACAAAUUACCAAUGUUAGGGACAAUAUUAUAUAUACACACACACACACACACAUAAGGAAGGAGUAGCUAUUUCAAUGGCUAUAGGACAUUAAUGUGGAUGUCUUGUUAGAGCCGUUGAUUUGAUUUUAAGAAAGCUCAUCAUUGUCGUUUAUUCUUUAAGUUGUGUCCGACUCUUGUAACCCCAUGGACCGUGGCCUGCUAGGCUCCUCUGUCCAUGGGAUUCUCCAGGCAAGAAUACUGGAACGGUUACCAUUUCCUUCUCCAUUUAAGAAAGCUACUUAUAUAAAUAAGCUAUGACAGAGGGAGUUCAUCCACGUUUUAAUGAGACAGCUUAACUCUCCUGCUAAAUUAAUACAUCUACUUUGAGACUUUAAUCUCCAGGAGAAGUGGCAACAGAAAGGGCAGUUGAAGAAACACUCCUUGUACACAUUCACAAUGUUUAUUUUUAUAAAAUCAACACUGUAAUAUAAUUCCACUUUUAUCUAAAACAAAAUGUAUAAAUGCAAUUAACACUAGAAGAAUAUACAAACCAGAAUAUUCAUAAUGACUAAUUUUCUCUUUUAGAUAAUAUUUUAAAUUAUUGGAUUUUACUUUUCCAUGUUUUCUCACUUCUCUGUGUCAAGCCUAUACAACCAGUUUAGAAUGAGAAGUGAAAGUUGCUCAGUUAUGUCUGACUCUGUGACUCCAUGGACUAUAGCCUGCCAGGCUCCUCUGGGAUCUUCCCAACCCACACAUCAAAACCAGGUCUUCCGCAUUGCAGGCAGAUUCUUUACCAGCUGAGCCACAAGGGAAGCCCUUGUUUUGUUUUCUUUGGCUACAGACAUGUGGGAUCUUUGCUCCUCAACCAGGGAUCGGACCCACACCCCUUAUGUUAGGAGGUGAAAUCUUAAUCCCUAGACUGCCAGGAGAAGAAAAUACAAUAAAUGUUUCAGGAUCAAGAGAAAAAAAAUGAAUAUACACCAAUGUUUAAGGG
ensembl:lncRNA